GACAGAGCGGGGUGCGGAGAGGGGCUUCGGCUGGUUUUUGAGGCUGCCCAGUGGGGAGGAGGCAGGCAGAGCGGCUUCAGAUCUGCUCUCCGGUCUCCUGUGGGUGGUGGUUAGAGCCGCGGGGUUUCAGCGUUCCCAAAGCUGCCGGGGAAGCGCCCCGUGAAGCCGCAGGAGCCCUGGCACAGGCCUGAGCCGCCCCAGCCCGGCGCGGCCUUCCCCCUCAGCUCCCGGCGCUCCCGCCCGAGCCCUUCGGGCCGAAAGGGCUCCUGAGGGGACAGCCCAGGGUGGGAACCCGAGCACGGGAGAGCUCCAGCGCCGCUCUAGCAGAGACAGCCACAUCAAGAGUUAACCCGAAAGUGAAACUGAACGAGCGGUUUCAGAAAAUUCUGGAAUAUCUGGUGAUCCACCCCUCCCCUCCCGGUCGGGAUAUAUUCGGCCGUUUCCCUUCCUUCCUCCCAGCACAACAGACACAACAGAGGCUGGUGGCGAGGGGAGCCGCGGUCCCACGGUACUGGGAUUAGAGCAGACUCAUCGCAGCUCUUACUCCCAGCCAGCCGACCAUGGCCGUGGCAAGUGGUGCACCAGUAGCCAUAGCUGCAGCAGGGGUUAGCAAGACCAAGGCUGCUGCCUUCAUUUUCACAGUCGGGGCAGCAUCAAUGGCCUGACUCUGCCCUCUGAGCAGCAGCUGAUUGCAUCCUGGCACAGAAACAGCUCCCUAUGUUCAAUGCAAGGGAGCAAAAGCAAGAUUCCUUCCUUCCAAGCACAUGGAUUCAUCUUCAAAUGGCCAGCGCUGGAAAGUCCAAUCCCUCCCACAGCUUCUGCUAUAAAUGAUUUGGCAUUAAGCAAUAAAUAAGCAAUAAAUGAA